rnacentral:rRNA from 1 species
UGGGGAAUAUUGCACAAUGGGCGGAAGCCUGAUGCAGCAACGCCGCGUGAGGGAUGACGGCCUUCGGGUUGUAAACCUCUUUUAGCAGGGAAGAAGCGAGAGUGACGGUACCUGCAGAAAAAGCGCCGGCUAACUACGUGCCAGCAGCCGCGGUAAUACGUAGGGCGCAAGCGUUAUCCGGAAUUAUUGGGCGUAAAGAGCUCGUAGGCGGUCUGUCGCGUCUGCUGUGAAAACCCGAGGCUCAACCUCGGGCCUGCAGUGGGUACGGGCAGACUAGAGUGCGGUAGGGGAGAUUGGAAUUCCUGGUGUAGCGGUGGAAUGCGCAGAUAUCAGGAGGAACACCCAUGGCGAAGGCAGAUCUCUGGGCCGUAACUGACGCUGAGGAGCGAAAGGGUGGGGAGCAAACAGGCUUAGAUACCCUGGUAGUCCACCCCGUAAACGUUGGGAACUAGUUGUGGGGACCUUUCCACGGUCUCCGUGACGCAGCUAACGCAUUAAGUUCCCCGCCUGGGGAGUACGGCCGCAAGGCUAAAACUCAAAUGAAUUGAC